AAAACAUCUAUAAGAUUUGCUUUAGGGAAAAAGAAGACCAGGAAAGGGUUUUGCAGAGGAAGGUUCACACUAUUUCACUUCCAUCUGGUGAGGUAUGUCUUGUGGUCCACCGUACCUAUCCACAAAACAAUCCUAACACCAUGGAUCAAGCGUCACGCUGUCAAGCACAGAAAUUCAUGGAAUCAAGUGUAGAAGGCCAUGAGAAGACUUUCCAUGUAGAUCUCUUUCUACUGUGUUAUCUCAGAGACAACCUCAAAGCACUUAAACUUAUACAGAAACAGCUCUCUUCAAUUGGCUGUUCAAUCCAGCUCAAUGUCGAGGAGGAGGAGCUUGUGGUUAGGGGCGACCAUAA